rnacentral:lncRNA from 1 species
AUGGAGAAAGCGGGGGAAAGAGCCCCCAGACACCAGUGCAAGGCGCUCACCUGGUGAAGGCCUUGCCCAACACUGUGGGUGGAGGUCAGACCUGUUUUUCCAUACCAAUUGCAAGAACCAGCCCCUGCUCUCCUACUGGUCUGGGCUAGAGUGAACGCUCUCUCCUUCCCGGCAGCUGCCCCAACAAAGGGAGCCGCCUGGUCAUUGGUCUUGGAUUAUUCAGGUUUCCAAGGAAGCCAUCGGUCAGGCCCAGAUGAUUCAGAGAAUUCAGUAAGACACGACAGCAGAUGGCUCUGGAGGCCCAGACCCCCAGUUCCCGGACAAGGGGGCCAAAGAGCCGCUGGGGAGACGAGGCUGCUGCCCCAGGGGAAGGGGCUCCCCGGCGGGGCUGUCUGAGGCUGGCCUGGGGAUGCCUGCUCAGCUUCAUGUCUGCCUUUCCUGGCCUUGUUCUUCCUCCGGGCAACAGUUCCCAGCCCGAGAACCCAUGCUUUGUCCAGAGCCGUUCUCCAUCCAGGACUGGGUCUGGCAUUUGAGAAACCGCAGGGAGGCCCAGGCUGGCUCUGCUGCCCCAGCUCCUCAGCUGCCUGUCGUGGGCCCUUACAGGGGUCAGGGAUACCACUGCAUUCUGAAGAGCCAAGCAGGCCUUACGCCUUUCCCAGAAGGCAUGGGAAAGCGCCCAGAAACGUGGCUGUGGUUUUUCUCUUUCCUGGUGUAGUUUCCCUCCACCCCUGCCCCACCUAAGCAAACCCCAUCUCCCAUACUGACUCUCCCUCCUCUCUUAGGGCACCUGUGGUCAAAGGUAAGAGAGUGACAAUUUAGAGGGGGGACAUUGUGAGAGGGUGUGUGUGUGUGUGUGUGUGUGUGUGUGUGUACACAAAAGAGGAGAGAGUGGCUUCCAGGACACAUUUCUGCCCACUCCUGUCUGCUCAGCCUUACCUUGCCCCAGCAAUGGCACGGAAGGGUCAUCAUAGCUACCGUCAUAGAAAUCAUUACCAGCCUCCAGCUCACUGUUGACCGGGUUACCGUUUGCAAUGCUCUUUUGUUUGACUGUGAAAAAGGCUUGCAUCUUCACAUUGUACCUGGAAGCGAGGGGAGGCAGGAGGUCAGGGCAAUGGAAAGGAGUCCCACCAACUGGGCAGCGGGUGGAUCACACCCCAUCCCUGCACGCAGUCAGCACAGCCCAGGAGUGGUGGGUGGCAGGGGAGGUGUGGAGCCUCAGCUUUUCAACUGGGCUGACAGUUUCCUGACAGGGACCUGGGAGCAUUGUGUUGUCUGGUGGCACCUGCUCCUAUUGAGCUGGUGGUGGACUUCCUGGAGGCAUGAGAGAACUUUCACCUAAGAAAAUGACUGAGGCCUACUUACUGGAGCCUGUCCUAAUAAAGGAAGCUCGGCCUCGCCUCUGGGCAGGCUCGCAGGGGGCAUUACCAGGCCUGUCCCCUCUCCCCCAGCAGCAGAUCUUGCUCCCAGGAUGCUCACGGGCACCUCCUGCACACUCACAGCCAGCACUGCCAUCACCCCUGAGGGAAGAGUCUCUCCAUCUCAAAGAACCUCAGGCGGGCUCUCGCUGAAAGGCACUCAGAGUGGAGAUCAUUUAAGGACAAUGCUCUUGCAGUCUGAUAGUUUAUCACCCAUCUUUAUAAAACAUUAUAAAUGUUUUAUAUAAAUGUGGGAUUUAUAUCCUCAU